UUUAAGUGCAACCAUGAGUUUUCGUGCCCAAUUUUGAUCGUCCAUCUUAUUUGAAAUUUUUUUGUAAUUAGUUUUUUUUUGUUGUUAUGAGAUGAUAAAACAUAAAUAGUACUUUAUGUGUGACUUAUGUUUUCAAAUUUUUUUAAAUAAGACGGACGAUCAAAGUUGAGUACGGAAAAGUAUGGCUGCACUUAAA
rnacentral:pre_miRNA from 1 species